rnacentral:rRNA from 1 species
CCUACGGGAGGCAGCAGUGAGGAAUAUUGGUCAAUGGACGAGAGUCUGAACCAGCCAAGUGGCGUGAAGGAUGACUGCCCUAUGGGUUGUAAACUUCUUUUAUAUGGGAAUAAAAUGUUCCACGUGUGGGAUUUUGUAUGUACCAUAUGAAUAAGGAUCGGCUAACUCCGUGCCAGCAGCCGCGGUAAUACGGAGGAUCCGAGCGUUAUCCGGAUUUAUUGGGUUUAAAGGGAGAGUAGGUGGAUUGUUAAGUCAGUUGUGAAAGUUUGCGGCUCAACCGUAAAAUUGCAGUUGAAACUGGCAGUCUUGAGUACAGUAGAGGUGGGCGGAAUUCGUGGUGUAGCGGUGAAAUGCUUAGAUAUCACGAAGAACUCCGAUUGCGAAGGCAGUUCACUGGACUGCAACUGACACUGAGGCUCGAAAGUGUGGGUAUCAAACAGGAUUAGAUACCCCAGUAGUC